GAGACACAAUCCAAAACACAAAGCAUCUAUGGAUAGCCCGGUCAAGUCUCACCCAACCCCGGUUGAGUAGUACGAAAAACUCUAGGGGCCUCUAUCCUACAACCCUGAUACUAGACCUCCAGAUUUUCCUAUCAAGGGUCAUUGUCCUCGGAAACCUGCAUACUAGCCAUGUCAUGCCUAAUCAUCUCUCCCCAAUACCUCUUAGGCCUCCCUCUGCCUCGCCGAACGCCGACCAACGCCAGCCGUUCACAACUCCUCACCGGGGCAUCAGGACUUCUCCUCCGCACAUGCCCGAACCACAUCAGCCUCGCUCUUCUCCCCAAUACCUCUUAGGCCUCCCUCUGCCUCGCCGAACGCCGACCAACGCCAGCCGUUCACAACUCCUCACCGGGGCAUCAGGACUUCUCCUCAGAGAUCGAAUCACCUAUCACAAUUUUUUUAUAAAAAAGAAAAGGUAUAGACAUUACUUACUUUUGUCUCCAUUUUCUAACUGUGGCUGCAAAGUGCAAAACAAACGGAAUCAGGAUUUAAGCAAAAGUAAAAGAAAAUAAAUACCAAUGAAAACAAUUUGAAAAGGCGACACAUGAGACAAACAUCUGAAGUACAAGUUUGCUACACAUAUAAGAUCCAUCUUCUGCAACAUAUAUAUGUAUAUAGGUAUAAGAAAAAGAUCUCUUUGGACGAACAGCUACAGCAAAAAGAACUGCUAGAUAGUUAAAUCCAACCCCUGAAGAAGUCCAGCCAUCCCCACCAAACUCAACCUACCAUUCAACAACCAUCUACCUAACCU
rnacentral:lncRNA from 1 species